UACGAAGGGUGCAAGCGUUAAUCGGAAUUACUGGGCGUAAAGCGUGCGUAGGCGGUUCGUUAAGGCUGAUGUGAAAGCCCUGGGCUCAACCUGGGAAUGGCAUUGGAUACUGGCGGGCUAGAGAGCGGUAGAGGGGUGGGGAAUUCUCGGUGUAGCGGUGAAAAGCGUAGAGAACGGGAGGAACACCAGUGGCGAAGGCGGCACCCUAGACCUCCGCUGACGCUGAGGCUCGAAAGCGUGUGUAGCAAACAGG
rnacentral:rRNA from 1 species